AGAGUUUGAUCCUGGCUCAGGAUGAACGCUAGCGGCAGGCCUAACACAUGCAAGUCGAGGGGCAUCGGGAUUGAAGCUUGCUUCAAUUGCCGGCGACCGGCGCACGGGUGCGUAACGCGUAUGUAACCUACCUAUAACAGGGGCAUAACACUGAGAAAUUGGUACUAAUUCCCCAUAAUAUUCGGAGAGGCAUCUCUCCGGGUUGAAAACUCCGGUGGUUAUAGAUGGACAUGCGUUGUAUUAGCUAGUUGGUGAGGUAACGGCUCACCAAGGCAACGAUACAUAGGGGGACUGAGAGGUUAACCCCCCACACUGGUACUGAGACACGGACCAGACUCCUACGGGAGGCAGCAGUGAGGAAUAUUGGUCAAUGGACGCAAGUCUGAACCAGCCAUGCCGCGUGCAGGAAGACGGCUCUAUGAGUUGUAAACUGCUUUUGUACGAGGGUAAACGCAGAUACGUGUAUCUGCCUGAAAGUAUCGUACGAAUAAGGAUCGGCUAACUCCGUGCCAGCAGCCGCGGUAAUACGGAGGAUUCAAGCGUUAUCCGGAUUUAUUGGGUUUAAAGGGUGCGUAGGCGGUUUGAUAAGUUAGAGGUGAAAUCCCGGGGCUUAACUCCGGAACUGCCUCUAAUACUGUUAGACUAGAGAGUAGUUGCGGUAGGCGGAAUGUAUGGUGUAGCGGUGAAAUGCUUAGAGAUCAUACAGAACACCGAUUGCGAAGGCAGCUUACCAAACUAUAUCUGACGUUGAGGCACGAAAGCGUGGGGAGCAAACAGGAUUAGAUACCCUGGUAGUCCACGCAGUAAACGAUGAUAACUCGUUGUCGGCGAUACACAGUCGGUGACUAAGCGAAAGCGAUAAGUUAUCCACCUGGGGAGUACGUUCGCAAGAAUGAAACUCAAAGGAAUUGACGGGGGCCCGCACAAGCGGAGGAACAUGUG
rnacentral:rRNA from 1 species